ACACGGGGAUGCUUAGUACGGCGAGUGAAGCGGCAAAAGCUCAAAUUUGAAAUCUGGUACCUUCGGUGCCCGAGUUGUAAUUUGGAGAGGGCAACUUUGGGGCCGUUCCUUGUCUAUGUUCCUUGGAACAGGACGUCAUAGAGGGUGAGAAUCCCGUGUGGCGAGGAGUGCGGUUCUUUGUAAAGUGCCUUCGAAGAGUCGAGUUGUUUGGGAAUGCAGCUCUAAGUGGGUGGUAAAUUCCAUCUAAAGCUAAAUAUUGGCGAGAGACCGAUAGCGAACAAGUACAGUGAUGGAAAGAUGAAAAGAACUUUGAAAAGAGAGUGAAAAAGUACGUGAAAUUGUUGAAAGGGAAGGGCAUUUGAUCAGACAUGGUGUUUUGUGCCCUCUGCUCCUUGUGGGUAGGGGAAUCUCGCAUUUCACUGGGCCAGCAUCAGUUUUGGUGGCAGGAUAAAUCCAUAGGAAUGUAGCUUGCCUCGGUAAGUAUUAUAGCCUGUUGGGAAUACUGCCAGCUGGGACUGAGGACUGCGACGUAAGUCAAGGAUGCUGGCAUAAUGGUUAUAUGCCGCCCGUCUGAAA
rnacentral:rRNA from 1 species